AUUUUCCAAAGGCUUUACACGGUAGCUGAACAGAGGCCGUUUACAGUCAGAUAUCGUAAUAAUAUCCGUCAGAUAUUGCAAUAUUCUUAUUGGAAAGUCAGGUCCCCUCUUCCGUCUGCCUCCGAUUGCAACUUCCUGUGGUGGUCCGAAUCAAGAUCUUUCUCUAGGAAACAUUAGACCACUAUAAUAAGUAUGCACAACUGCAUUACAUCUCCGAUAAAGGUGCUCUGAUAUAAAGGUACAAGAGCCUAGAUGGAAGUUGCUUCCUUCAAGCUAUAAACUGGAUUCUGUAAUGGUGUCGGCUUUAUAAGAAUGUGGGCACUUUACGCCAAGACAUCUUUUGCAAACAUAGGCCCAUUUGUACAAAAGAGCUGGCACCUUUAUUAUGGAGUGCCAAGACAGAAACCGCCAUAAAGGUAUCAUACUUUGAUGGGAUUGGUUUUUCUCCAAGUUCUAAAAUGAAUUUCAUAAGGAUAAGGCACCUUUAUGCGCGUCGAUGAAUAUUCACUGAAAUAAAGACUUUUACGUAGACGUUCUGGUAUCCUGAUGAAGGUUUCAUUCUUCAUGGAGUAAACGGAACUUCAUCAAGUUUUAUGUCUUGAUGAACGAUGGUCAACUUGCAAAAGGUGCGGCACCUUCACUCAAGUGGAGGACUAUUUACUUAGAUUCCCAAAAUCUUGACGAAGGUUUCAUUCUUCAUGGUAUAAACUGGAAUUUCCGAGGGACUUAAUUUCCACAUGGACCCCCUCGCAUUUUGAUGAAAGAUACAUUCUCAUGGUAUACACUGAGCUAUAUAAAGCUGUCAGAUACUCCUUAUGUCUUGAUGAACAAUGUUUAGCUUACAGUAGUUGCCAUCUUAUUUAUUCAAGUCGGCGAUUAAGUUCUUUACACGAGUUUCUCGGAAUGUCGACGAAGUUAUAGUCUUCAUGGUAUAUAUUGAUCUUUAGAAAGGUGCCGCGAACCUUUGUGUCUUAAUGACGGAGCACACUUGUACCUUGGCGAGCAAACAGCAACUUGCAUAAAGCUGCCAGCACAUUUAUGCAAGUAAGGCCGCGCCGGUCAGACAAUUCCAUUCGCCCUUGGUGCUAACAAAUAUCACUGUCAAAAAAUGAAAUCCUUGACGAUGGCAAUGAUAGGUAAUGAAUGUAGAAUUUGAGUAUAGGAUUACUUCUUGAUAUAGGAAGACUGAAGUUCCCAUCAAGAAAUGCGCGAAAUUCAUUGCUAUCUUUCAGUGCUCUACUUUCUCACAUAAAAUGCCACAAAUUCCUAAUAUUUCUCUGUUUUAUGCAGUAUAUUAAUAGCGGCACUACUGUCGUAUGCUCUCUCUCUAUAUAUGGUAUAUACUUCUUCAUUUCGCUGUAUAUUGUGUACAUUUUAUUUUAUUGUGUGUCAGCUGUUAAUGCUUUGUAUUUCAAAAUAUCAAGUAAUGUACUGCAUCAGGUUCAUGUUUCUUUGUCACAAAGUACGUAGUUACACAGUACUGCACAUAUGU